rnacentral:rRNA from 1 species
CUUGGUCAUUUAGAGGAAGUAAAAGUCGUAGCAAGGUCUCCGUUGGUGAACCAGCGGAGGGAUCAUUACCGAGUUUACAACUCCCAAACCCCUGUGAACAUACCAAUUGUUGCCUCGGCGGAUCAGCCCGCUCCCGGUAAAACGGGACGGCCCGCCAGAGGACCCCUAAACUCUGUUUCUAUAUGUAACUUCUGAGUAAAACCAUAAAUAAAUCAAAACUUUCAACAACGGAUCUCUUGGUUCUGGCAUCGAUGAAGAACGCAGCAAAAUGCGAUAAGUAAUGUGAAUUGCAGAAUUCAGUGAAUCAUCGAAUCUUUGAACGCACAUUGCGCCCGCCAGUAUUCUGGCGGGCAUGCCUGUUCGAGCGUCAUUUCAACCCUCAAGCCCUCGGGUUUGGUGUUGGGGAUCGGCGAGCCCUUGCGGCAAGCCGGCCCCGAAAUCUAGUGGCGGUCUCGCUGCAGCUUCCAUUGCGUAGUAGUAAAACCCUCGCAACUGGUACGCGGCGCGGCCAAGCCGUUAAACCCCCAACUUCUGAAUGUUGACCUCGGAUCAGGUAGGAAUACCCGCUGAACUUAAGCAUAUCAAUAAGCGGAGGA